CAAGUUUCCCCCAGAUGUGCUUUUUCCUCAAAUAUGAGUUUUUGCCACUGGGUUUUUUGCCUGGCCCCAGAUCAUCGGGUGGACUGGUAAUCCUAGACCCUGGUCCUUGGACGGGGGAUAGGUAUUAUUCCCACUUUGACUAUAUGCGCCCACUUCCGUGGACGAAGGAGGAAACAACUGUUGGGAAUAAUACACUUUGCCCAUAUUUACCCAGGGCUUAUGAUACAGAUGACCGGCUGGUUAGUCUGUUUAAAAUUGGUUAACAUGUCAGCUAUUUGCAAUAAUAUAUUUGCUAUAAGCUCAGGUUCCAUUUUGUCUUAAACAUUCAUUUUCUAUAUAUCUGACUGCAAAAGUAUUAAUUGUCUUUUUUCCUGCUGAGUUUCUGUUUCUUGUAGAC